UUACGCUUAACUCAGUUGGUAGAGUAGUCGACUUUUAAUCGAUCAGUCGCGGGUUCGAUCCCCGCAGCUUGAA
rnacentral:tRNA from 1 species